rnacentral:rRNA from 1 species
AUUGAACGCUGGCGGCAGGCCUAACACAUGCAAGUCGAGCGGCAGCGGGAAAGUAGCUUGCUACUUUUGCCGGCGAGCGGCGGACGGGUGGGUAAUGCCUGGGAAAUUGCCCAGUCGAGGGGGAUAACAGUUGGAAACGACUGCUAAUACCGCAUACGCCCUACGGGGGAAAGCAGGGGACCUUCGGGCCUUGCGCGAUUGGAUAUGCCCAGGUGGGAUUAGCUAGUUGGUGAGGUAAUGGCUAACCAAGGCGACGAUCCCUAGCUGGUCUGAGAGGAUGGUCAGCCAAACUGGAGAUGAGUGCCGGUCCAGAGUCCUCCGGGAGGCACUAGAGGAGAAUAUUGGAAAAUGGGGGAAACCCUGAUGCAGCCAUGCCGCGUGGGUGAAGAAGGCCUUCGGGUUGUAAAGCACUUUCAGCGAGGAGGAAAGGUUGAUGCCUAAUACGCAUCAACUGUGACGUGACUCGCAGAAGAAGCACCGGCGAACUCCGUGCCAGCAGCCGCCGUAACAC